GGACUACUCGGGUUUCUAAUCCUGUUUGCUCCCCUAGCUUUCGCAGAUCAGAGUCAGUGACGGUCCAGUAGCCUGCUUUCGCCAUAGGUAUUCCUCCCGAUAUCUACGCAUUUCACCGCUACACCGGGAAUUCCAGCUACCUCUACCGCACUCCAGCCGAGUAGUUUCCGUUGACCUCUCCCAGUUAAGCCGGGAGCUUUCACAACAGACUUACCCAACCUCCUACCUGCGCUUUACGCCUAGUGAUUCCGAGUAACGCUUGCCACCUACGUAUUACCGCGGCGGCUGGCAC
rnacentral:rRNA from 1 species